UCUCAGUUUUUCAGUUCUUGUACUCUUGACUCUGAUAUGCUCAAACACUAGUCACGAGUUCUGUAGCGUCCUCUUGUGGUCAUAUUUGGAAAUACACCAUGCAUUUUAAGGUAUCAUUGGGGUGUUUUUGAGGGUCAAAUAUUUAGGGAGUUAUCUGGGUGUUUAUGGGUUUCUAGGCAUUUUGGGGUCACUGGGUGUUUUAGGGAAUCAUUGGGGUGUUUUUGAAGGUCAUUAAGUAUUUAGAAAAAAAUCUGGGUGUUUCGGAGUUCGUUUGGCAGUUUUGGGGGUCACUGGGUGUUUUAGCGGUUCAUUGGGGUGUUUAUGAGGUUCAAUAAGUAGGGAGUAAUCUGGGUGUUUUGGAGAUUAAUUUGGUGGUUUUGGGGGUCACUGGGUGUUUUUAGGGUAUCAUUGAGGUGUUUUUGAGAGAUAUAUAUUUAGGGAGUAAUCUGGGUGUUUUGAAUUUUUGGACAUUUUUGAGGGUCACUGUGUGUUCUAGGAAAUCAUUGGGGUGUUUCUGAGGGACAUUAAAUAUUUAGGGAGUAAUCUGGGUUUCUGGGCAUUUUGGGGGUCACUAGGUGUUUUAGGGAAUCAGUGAGGUGUUUUUGAGGGUCAUUAAGUAUUUAGAGAAUAAUCUAGGUGUUUCGGAUUUCAUUUGGCAGUUUUGGGGGUCACUGGGUGUUUUAGGGGUUCAUUGGGGUGUUUUUGAGAGAUAUAUAUUUAGGGAGUAAUCUGGGUGUUUUGAAUUUUUGGACAUUUUUGAGGGUCACUGUGUGUUCUAGGAAAUCAUUGGGGUGUUUCUGAGGGACAUUAAAUAUUUAG